rnacentral:misc_RNA from 1 species
UCAUCAAUUAGUGAAGGUUUAUUUAGAGUGAAAGAGAGUAAUUAAUCACUUUUCUGCAUCCAUAUUUUGUAAAGGGUGAAUUAUUUGUUAUUAGUGUUUUUGCUCAUUUGUUGUAGAAAAUUAUAUUUUAUAUUAGAUUGUUUAUGAAAUUUAUAUUAUGAAGUAUUAGUUUGCCUAAUCUAUAGGUUAUUGUCUAUUUUUUCCCUAAUUUUUAGCUAUUUUUGGAA